GUUUUAACGGAGGAACAUUUUGAUUGAAACGUAAUGGCCAGGCGUUAAAUUAGUCUCGGACAACCCAGAAGGAUCGCGAGGAGGUGUUGGUGCCAAUCGCAUCUGAUCUCAAACAAAAAGGUGGGGUCACACCCAUCACAGGGACACACAGAGACAAACAACCAUCCAUAACCUGAAGGUUCCACCGAUGAUCGCAGUUAGUUAGCAUUGACCCAGUCCAUGAGAUUACUGUAAACUCUAUGCUGAGCUCGACCAGGUACCUGCCCAAAUCUUUUACAGAUGCAAAGUCAUCAACGUGGAUGAAAGAAUUAGGCGGAGCCACAGCUUUAU